rnacentral:rRNA from 1 species
CCUACGGGUGGCAGCAGUCGAGAAUCAUUCACAAUGGGGGAAACCCUGAUGGUGCGACGCCGCGUGGGGGAAUGAAGGUCUUCGGAUUGUAAACCCCUGUCAUGUGGGAGCAAAUAAAAAAGAUAGUACCACAAGAGGAAGAGACGGCUAACUCUGUGCCAGCAGCCGCGGUAAUACAGAGGUCUCAAGCGUUGUUCGGAAUCACUGGGCGUAAAGCGUGCGUAGGCUGUUUCGUAAGUCGUGUGUGAAAGGCGCGGGCUCAACCCGCGGACGGCACAUGAUACUGCGAGACUAGAGUAAGGGAGGGGGAACCGGAAUUCGCGGUGUAGCAGUGAAAUGCGUAGAUAUCGAGAGGAACAAUCGUGGCGAAGGCGGGUUCCUGGACAUUAACUGACGCUGAGGCACGAAGGCCAGGGGAGCGAAAGGGAUUAGAUACCCGGGUAGUC